ensembl:lncRNA
UUUUUUUCUCCAGAAUUCCUAGUUGUUUGAACUCACUGAAGUCUGAGAUUUCCCAGUUCCGAGUUUCCAGUUGUUUUGAACAUGGCAAAAGUCAUGCUGGAUUGACAGCAAGGCCAAUGUAUUCAACUUUUUCUGGCCUUUGGUGUUGAAAGUUUAUCCUUUUAAUUUUGGAAUAAGACCCUUAAACCCAGAUUUGGACCACACACGAAUCUACUGAAUAGCAGGGACCUGAGCCCUAGGACCAUGCCUCAGGACUACCUGGCAUGAUGACUCCUUGCUGUCCCCAGUCCACCUGGCCGUGCUGUUGCUCCAGUUUCAACUGUUCUGCCUGCGGCUAUGGAAUCCUGACCUGUUCACCGGAUGUGCUACCUGUCCAAGACCUGCUGUUUUUAACUCUCUAAAGACAGCAGGAGUGGUAGAGAUACCCUUAAUGAUCGGCUAUGAAAAGCCAACGGACAUUUACUCCUGAGGUGCUGACUUGCUGCACCCUCGACAACUACUGUGAUUAUUAUUAUUUGACCAUGGUGGUCAUUUAUGAACAUCUUGGCCAUGUUCUGUUAUAAUCUCCACCCGGCACAGACAGAAGAAGACUGGCCCCCCCUCAUAGCCUGGUUCCUCUCUAGGUUUCUUCCUAGGUUUUGGCCUUUCGAGGGAGUUUUUCCUAGCCACAGUGCUUCUACACCUGCAUUGCUUGCUAUUUGGGGUUUUAGGCUGGGUUUCUGUACAGCACAUUGAGAUAUCAGCUGAUGUACGAAGGGCUAUAUAAAUAAAUUUGUUUCGAUUUGAUUUGAUCUCGCUGUCAUUACAGCCUUAGCGCUCUUUUACUAUGUAUAUCCAAAUAUAGGCCGACCGUUUUCUAACACAGAUGCUAAACAUGAAACGUAUGACUAUUUUACUUGGUUGGUUGUUUUGCUGUCCUUAAUACAUGCAUUCAGUCUCAUCUUACAGUGUGCUGAUAACUCACCAUCUGAUCCAGCAGGGAAAGGUAUUCUGCGCUCAAGUGACCGUAGUGGUGUCGGAUCCAGUCACAGCAAUGACACACGCUCUGCAUACUGCAAAUAAUAAGAAAAAUACAAGUCCAACUCUGCAUUGUAUACAUUGUAAAUAGCAGUUUGUUUCGCUAUUAGUGUUCCAGAUAAGUUUGAACAUCUUGGCUCUGUUAAGUAGUUUUAUGUAGAAUUGGGAAAGGGAAAGCUGUAUAGAGAAUUUCCCCUGAUCAACCUACCGGAGGCGGGAACUUUCAUUUUCCAGACUAGCGCAUGCAGCAAUAAGAAUUCCAUGCCUGCUCCGUGUCCUGGACGAAAAAAAUCCAAGUAAAUCUAUACACAUUCUCCUUGAAAUCAGCUUUAAAUGAUAGUUGAACCACAAAAUAAGAUUAUUCAAUUUAGAUAUCGGCUAGACUAUUACUAUAGCGAGAAUAGGCUAUUCGCGAGCUUUGCUUUCAACUGCUAAUAACUUCGCUUGAACCAAAAACAAAAAGUCUAACAAAAUCGUCGAUGUCGAAAUUAAACCGACACUUCUUAAGAAAUGUAGCCACAUAAGACGUUAAUUUAGUGGGUUUCGUUCAAAGUUAGUCCGAAAUAUUUUUCGGUAGUCCUCUGCUGUUGCGCUACAAAUGAAAAGGGAAUGGGAGACGUCGGCGUCAAUACCCACAUCUCUCAACUUUCAUUUUCACAAUGACGUAACCAACUUUCACCCUACUGUUGACUGCUGGUGAUGCAAAGUUGACAAGCAACGACAACAUGAUUUGUUGGAACUUUCUAUUUGUCGUUUUUAUUACAAGGGGAAAUGAAAAAUAACAUGUGACAAUAGUUCCUUGGUAUAGGCUACGAUAUCAGGGAUAUUUUCCCAACAGAGUCAAUCGUUUUGACAGGGCUAUUCUACUGUUGUGUGUGUGUGUGUGUGUGUGUGUGUGUG